UACGUAGGGUGCAAGCGUUGUCCGGAAUUAUUGGGCGUAAAGAGCUCGUAGGCGGUCUGUCACGUCGGCUGUGAAAACCCGAGGCUCAACCUCGGGCCUGCAGUCGAUACGGGCAGGCUAGAGUUCGGUAGGGGAGACUGGAAUUCCUGGUGUAGCGGUGAAAUGCGCAGAUAUCAGGAGGAACACCGGUGGCGAAGGCGGGUCUCUGGGCCGAUACUGACGCUGAGGAGCGAAAGCGUGGGGAGCGAACAGG
rnacentral:rRNA from 1 species